rnacentral:rRNA from 1 species
AUACGUAGGGUGAGAGCGUUAAUCGGAAUUACUGGGCGUAAAGCGUGCGCAGGCGGUUUUUUAAGACAGAGGUGAAAUCCCCGGGCUCAACCUGGGAACUGCCUUUGUGACUGCAAGGCUAGAGUACGGCAGAGGGGGAUGGAAUUCCGCGUGUAGCAGUGGGAUGCGUAGAUAUGCGGAGGAACACCGAUGGCGAAGGCAAUCCCCUGGGCCUGUACUGACGCUCAUGCACGAAAGCGUGGGGAGCAAACAGGAUUAGAUACCCUGGUAGUCCACGCCCUAAACGAUGUCAACUGGUUGUUGGGUCUUCAUUGACUCAGUAACGAAGCUAACGCGUGAAGUUGACCGCCUGGGGAGUACGGCCGCAAGGUUGAAACUCAAAUGAAUUGGCGGGG